rnacentral:rRNA from 1 species
CCUACGGGGGACAGCAGUAGGGAAUAUUGCUCAAUGGGGGAAACCCUGAAGCAGCAACGCCGCGUGGAGGAUGAAGGUUUUCGGAUUGUAAACUCCUUUUGUUAGAGAAGAUAAUGACGGUAUCUAACGAAUAAGCACCGGCUAACUCCGUGCCAGCAGCCGCGGUAAUACGGAGGGUGCAAGCGUUACUCGGAAUCACUGGGCGUAAAGCGCGGGUAGGCGGGAUAGAAAGUCAGAUGUGAAAUCCUAUGGCUUAACCAUAGAACUGCAUUUGAAACUGUUAUUCUAGAGUAUGGGAGAGGUAGGUGGAAUUCUUGGUGUAGGGGUAAAAUCCGUAGAGAUCAAGAGGAAUACUCAUUGCGAAGGCGACCUGCUAGAACAUAACUGACGCUGAUGCGCGAAAGCGUGGGGAGCAAACAGGAUUAGAUACCCGAGUAGUC